rnacentral:snRNA from 1 species
AUACUUUACCUGGACGGGGUCAACGGACGAUCCACAAGGUCCAUGGCCUAGGUUGGAGACCUCCAUUGCACUUUGGAGGGGUGCCUGCCUAAGUGGCCGAGCCUACGUCAUAGUUUGUGGCAGUGGGGGCAUGCAUUCGCGCGGCCCCUAC